GAUGAAGAACGUAGCGAAAUGCGAUAAGUAAUGUGAAUUGCAGAAUUCAGUGAAUCAUCGAAUCUUUGAACGCACAUUGCGCCCGCCAGUAUUCUGGCGGGCAUGCCUGUUCGAGCGUCAUUUCAACCAUCAAGCCCUGCUUGCGUUGGGGUCCUGCGGCUGCCCGCAGGCCCUGAAAACCAGUGGCGGGCUCGCUAGUCACACCGAGCGCAGUAAUACAUCUAGCUUUGGGCGUGCGGCGGGUUCUUGCCGUUAAACACCCCCUUUUUACCAAGGUUGACCUCGGAUCAGGUAGGAAUACCCGCUGAACUUAAGCAUAUCAAUAAGCGGAGG
rnacentral:misc_RNA from 1 species